AUUACAACCUCCCAAAAGCACCGAGACUUUGUGGCAGAGUCCGUGGGGGAAAAGCCAGUAGGGAGCCUGGCCGGGAUUGGUGAAGUUAUGGACAAGAAGCUGGAGGAAGGGUGCUUUGACAAGGCCUAUGUUGUCCUUGGCCAGUUUCUGGUGCUAAAGAAAGAUGAAGACCUCUUCUGAGAAUGGCUGAGGGACACUGGUGGUGCCAAUGCCAAGCAGUCCCAGGACUGCUUCAGAUGCCUUCGAGAGUGGUGUGACACCUUCUUGUGA
rnacentral:lncRNA from 1 species